rfam:Ipomoea nil DNA, scaffold: scaffold3084, cultivar: Tokyo-kokei standard.
GGAUGCGAUCAUACCAGCACUAAUGCACCGGAUCCCAUCAGAACUCCGAAGUUAAGCGUGCUUGGGCGAGAGUAGUACUAGGAUGGGUGACCCCGUGGAAGUCCUCGUGUUGCAUCCC